GACGAACGCUGGCGGCGUGCUUAACACAUGCAAGUCGAGCGGUAAGGCCCUUCGGGGUACACGAGCGGCGAACGGGUGAGUAACACGUGAGUAAUCUGCCCUUCACUUCGGGAUAAGCACCGGAAACGGUGUCUAAUACCGAAUAUGAACCUCUUCCGCAUGGUUGGGGUUGGAAAGUUCCGGCGGUGAAGGAUGUGCUCGCGGCCUAUCAGCUUGUUGGUGAGGUAACGGCUCACCAAGGCUUCGACGGGUAGCCGGCCUGAGAGGGUGACCGGCCACACGGGGACUGAGACACGGCCCAGACUCCUACGGGAGGCAGCAGUGGGGAAUAUUGGACAAUGGGCGAAAGCCUGAUCCAGCAACGCCGCGUGAGGGAUGACUGCCUUCGGGUUGUAAACCUAUUUCAGUAGGGACGAAGCGCAGGUGACGGUACCUACAGAGGAAGCACCGGCCAACUACGUGCCAGCAGCCGCAGUAAUAC
rnacentral:rRNA from 1 species